rnacentral:lncRNA from 1 species
ACUUGAAGCAAAUAUUUAAUGCACAUGUUCAAAAUGGCAUUGCACUGAUGAUGUGGAAUACGUUCUUAGUUAAAAGAUUUUCUGCUGCUACAUACUUAAUGGAUAAGGUUGGAAAAUCACCAAAAGAUAGGUUAUGCCGAAGGGUAAGUGAAUCUCCCAUAGCUAGAAUUAUGGUUGUUAAUUCCACACUUUUAUGUAGUACUUUAUUAACUGUAUAGGUGAACUUUGCCUUUUAUCAUUGUGAUGACGUAUCAGAAGGAGAUAAGAAAAAUGAAAAGAGAAUACUGCAUUAAGGAAACUGGUCAUGAACUAUGGCCAGUUUUAAUUUACUUUUCCAGAUUGUUAGAUAGCAUAUUAAACUAGGUUUUUAUAAGAUGUUGUUCAGCUUUGAACUGUGAACAGGUUAACAUGCUACCAUUGCUGCAUAUUCCGAUUAGACAUUUAUAAUGGAAGCAUCCAACAUCAAAUUGAAGCAGGUUCAAAUGAAGUAGUUAAUUUGAUCUACCUAUAUAUAUGAUAUAUAUAAUAACAUAAGUAUACAAAUACAACAUUAGUCUUAACUAAUAUUCUAAUCCAUGGAUAUGGGACUUGUAUUUGACCCAAGAAAUUAAUAGUACUAGCUUCCAUUGUUGAAGACUUUUUCUGAUGUGUUCUUGAGAAUGGUUGUAUGACUAGAGUGUGUACGUGUGUGUGCAUGCAUGUGUGUGUGCAUGUACCCACAAACACUGAAUUAUUUGCUUUGGGGAUGUGAGGAAAUUAUAAGAUUGUUGGUUUUAAAAAGAUUAUAUGGCAGGGCGCGGUGGCUCACGCCUGUAAUCCUAGCACUUUGGAAAGGCGAGGCUGGUGGAUCACCUGAGGUCAGGAGUUUGAGACCAGCCUGACCAACAAGGUGAAACCCCAUCUCUACUAAAAAUAGAAAAACUAGCCAGGCAUGGUGGUGGGCGCCUGUAAUCCCAGCUACUCAGGAGGCUGAGGCAGGAUAAUCGCUUGAACCUGGGAGGUGGAGGUUGCAGUGAGCCGAGAUCGUGCCACUGUACUCCAGCCUGGGCAACAAGAAUGAAACUCUGUCUC